rnacentral:rRNA from 1 species
UUGCAGUUAAAAAGCUCGUAGUUGGAUCUCUGUGGGGACGGGGCGGCCGGCCGCAACUCGCGGUUCGAGCUAGCACUUUCCCUACAUCCUGCCGCGAACCGUGCUACCAUUAGUUUGGUGGCGCCGGGGAUCGGCUCGAUUACUUUGAGAAAAAUAGAGUGUUCAAAGCAGGCCACACGCCUUGAAUAAGUUAGCAUGGAAUAAUAACUAAGGACUUCGGUUCUAUUUUGUUGGUGUUCGGGACUGAAGUAAUGAUUGAUAGGGACAGUUGGGGCGGUCAGUAUUCCAAAGCGAGAGGUGAAAUUCUUAGAUCUUCGGAAGACUAACAGCUGCGAAAGCGUUCCGCAAGGAUGUUCCCUUUGAUCAAGAACGAAAGUUGGGGGAUCGAAGACGAUCAGAUACCGUCGUAGUCUCAACUAUAAACUAUACCAGCUAGGGAUCGGCCAACGUUAUUUUAUACCGACUUGGUCGGCACCUUAUGAGAAAUCAAAGCAUCUGGGUUCCGGGGGGAGUAUGGUCGCAAGGCUGAAACUUAAAGGAGUUGACGGAAGGGCACCACCAGCCGUGGAGCCUGUGGCUUAAUUUGACUCA